rnacentral:rRNA from 1 species
UGAGUUUGAUUCUGGCUCAGNACGAACGCUGGCGGAAGGCUUAACACAUGCAAGUCGAGCGCACUCUUCGGAGUGAGCGGCAGACGGGUGAGUAACGCGUGGGAACGUGCCCUUUGGUUCGGAAUAGCCCUUGGAAACGAGGAGUAAUGCCGAAUGUGCCCUUCGGGGGAAAGAUUUAUCGCCAAAGGAUCGGCCCGCGUUAGAUUAGCUAGUUGGUGAGGUAACGGCUCACCAAGGCGACGAUCUAUAGCUGGUCUGAGAGGAUGAUCAGCCACACUGGGACUGAGACACGGCCCAGACUCCUACGGGAGGCAGCAGUGGGGAAUCUUGGACAAUGGGCGCAAGCCUGAUCCAGCCAUUCCGCGUGGAUGAUGAAGGCCCUAGGGUUGUAAAAUCCUUUCGGCAGGGAAGAUAAUGACGGUACCUGCUAAAGAAGCCCCGGCUAACUCCGUGCCAGCAGCCGCGGUAAUACGGAGGGGGCUAGCGUUGUUCGGAAUUACUGGGCGUAAAGCGCGCGUAGGCGGAUCGAUCAGUCAGAGGUGAAAUCCCGGAGCUCAACUUCGGAAC